rnacentral:rRNA from 1 species
GGACUGAGACACGGCCCAGACUCCUACGGGAGGCAGCAGUGGGGAAUAUUGCACAAUGGGCGAAAGCCUGAUGCAGCGACGCCGCGUGAAGGAUGAAGUAUUUCGGUAUGUAAACUUCUAUCAGCAGGGAAGAAAAUGACGGUACCUGACUAAGAAGCCCCGGCUAACUACGUGCCAGCAGCCGCGGUAAUACGUAGGGGGCAAGCGUUAUCCGGAUUUACUGGGUGUAAAGGGAGCGUAGACGGCUGUGCAAGUCUGAAGUGAAAGGCAUGGGCUCAACCUGUGGACUGCUUUGGAAACUGUGCAGCUAGAGUGUCGGAGAGGUAAGUGGAAUUCCUAGUGUAGCGGUGAAAUGCGUAGAUAUUAGGAGGAACACCAGUGGCGAAGGCGGCUUACUGGACGAUGACUGACGUUGAGGCUCGAAAGCGUGGGGAGCAAACAGGAUUAGAUACCCUGGUAGUCCACGCCGUAAACGAUGACUGCUAGGUGUCGGGUAGCAAAGCUAUUCGGUGCCGCAGCUAACGCAAUAAGCAGUCCACCUGGGGAGUACGUUCGCAAGAAUGAAACUCAAAGGAAUUGGCGGGGACCCGCACAAGCGGUGGAGCAUGUGGUUUAAUUCGAAGCAACGCGAAGAACCUUACCUGAUCUUGACAUCCCGAUGACCGCUUCGUAAUGGAAGCUUUUCUUCGGAACAUCGGUGACAGGUGGUGCAUGGUUGUCGUCAGCUCGUGUCGUGAGAUGUUGGGUUAAGUCCCGCAACGAGCGCAACCCUUAUCUUCAGUAGCCAGCAUUUAGGAUGGGCACUCUGGAGAGACUGCCAGGGAUAACCUGGAGGAAGGUGGGGAUGACGUCAAAUCAUCAUGCCCCAUAUGACCAGGGCUACACACGUGCUACAAUGGCGUAAACAAAGGGAAGCAGAGCCGCGAGGCCGAGCAAAUCUCAAAAAUAACGUCUCAGUUCGGAUUGUAGUCUGCAACUCGACUACAUGAAGCUGGAAUCACUAGUAAUCGCAGAUCAGAAUGCUGCGGUGAAUACGUUCCCGGGUCUUGUACACACCGCCCGUCACACCAUGGGAGUCAGUAACGCCCGAAGUCAGUGACCCAACCGAAAGGAGGGAGCUGCCGAAGGUGGGACCGAUAACUGGGGUGAAGUCGUAACAAGGUAGCCGUACUAGUAC